GUGCCAACCCAUGUUUGAACGGAGAGACCUGUGAUACCGAUGCAUGUACAUGCGUUGUGGGAUUAAAUGGAGCUUUGUGUAAUACAGUUGACUGUUCUGGUGCCAACCCAUGUCUGAACGGAGGUACCUGUGAUACCGAUGCAUGUACAUGUGCUGCGGGAUUCAAUGGAGCUUUGUGUAAUACAGAUAUCGAUGAUUGUUUUCCCGAUCCGUGUUUGAAUGGAGGAAACUGUACUGAUGGAGUUGACGCAUUUACUUGUGCUUGUGCUGGUGGCUGGAUUGGGACUACAUGUGAGGAUACCGACGAAUGUUUUGGCAAUCCUUGUGUGAAUGAAGGAGUUUGCAUUGAUGGAGACAACACCUUUACUUGUAUCUGUAAUGAUGGC